CCCUGCUCCCUGGGGCCUGCGAGGCUGGUGGAAGUGUCUGCCUCUUGGCCCGUGGCGCCCAGCCCCGGGGUCUCUGGACUGCCACGUCCAGGGUACUUCAGGUGGUGCCCAACUCAAGGCCCUCCGUUCCAGGAGAGGUGCCUCCUCUGGUCACGUCUCAUGCCGUGUCCCCUGCCUGCCUCUGGGACACGUCAGAGGAGAGAGCCUCACCCUCUGUUUAUUGGAGUGCAGCCUCGAGAGUCACGGGGCAGUGUGACCAGGGUGACUGGCUAGGCCCUGUUUCUGGGAAAACUUUUUCUUCCCAAGGCCAGUUGCCAAUGUCAUGGGGCUUUGCAAGGACCCCCAGAACCUGCACUGGGGGACUCACUGGGCAGACAUAGCAGCCUGGGCAGGGGUCUGUGAGGAGGGAAGCCAGGAUGUGCCUGCCCCAGGCCGGAGGCCUCCAGUUUCUCAAGUCAACCAAAUUUGCGGAGGAGACAAGAUAGGCCGGAAGGAGCCAUACUACAUCACACAGUUGUUCCAGGCGGCAGACAAGAACCAGGACAACCAGAUCUGCUUUGAGGAGUUCCUCUACAUCUUGGGCAAACUGGUGAAGGACUACCACCUGCAGUACCACCGGCAGCUGUGUGCCCACUACUGCACCCAGCACAGCCUCUAUUAGAGGGAGUGCAGGGGCCUGCCUAGGGAGCAGGUGUGACCUAGCUGUGGCAGCUGAAGACAUAGCCAUGUGUGUGUGUGUGUGUGUGUGUGUGUGUGUGUGUGUGUGUGGAGUGGAUGCUGUGAAGGAAGAGAAUAAAGCAACUUUGUAAAGACU
rnacentral:lncRNA from 1 species